UUAAGUUCAGCGGGUAUCCCUACCUGAUCCGAGGUCAACCACAGAAUUAGGGGGGUCUGGCAGGCCACCGCAGGACCCUAGAGCGAGAGGUGUACUACGCUUAGGGCCCAGGCGCGCCGCCACUAUCUUUAAGGCCGGCCGGACAGGCUAGGCCCAACACCAAGCCAGGCUUGAGGGUUGAAAUGACGCUCGAACAGGCA
rnacentral:misc_RNA from 1 species